AUCUACCAUUUAGUGGGGAAUAACUGUUGGAAACGACAGCUAAUACCGCAUAAUAUUGCUGGAUAAUUUCCAGUAAUGAAAGGAGCUUUCAAGCUCCGCUGAUUGAUGAGGAUGCGGCGCAUUAGCUAGUUGGUAGGGUAAUGGCCUACCAAGGCAAUGAUGCGUAGCCGAUCUGAGAGGAUGAACGGCCACAUUGGGACUGAGACACGGCCCAAACUUCUACGGAAGGCAGCAGUAGGGAAUUUUUCACAAUGGGCGAAAGCCUGAUGGAGCAAUGCCGCGUGACUGAUGAAGGUCUUCGGAUUGUAAAGGUCUGUUGUAAGGGAAGAAAUGGUAAAACAGGAAAUGGUUUUAUCUAUGACGGUACCUUACCAGAAAGCCACGGCUAACUAUGUGCCAGCAGCCGCGGUAAUACAUAGGUGGCAAGCGUUAUCCGGAUUUAUUGGGCGUAAAGGGUGCGUAGACGGUUUUGCAAGUCUGAGGUUAAAUUUAGGAGCUCAACUCCUAAUCGCCUUGGAAACUACAAGACUAGAGUAUAGGAGAGGUUAGUGGAAUUCCAUGUGUAGCGGUGGAAUGUGUAGAUAUAUGGAGGAACACCAGUGGCGAAG
rnacentral:rRNA from 1 species